rnacentral:rRNA from 1 species
CCUACGGGAGGCAGCAGUGAGGAAUAUUGGUCAAUGGACGAGAGUCUGAACCAGCCAAGUAGCGUGAAGGAUGACUGCCCUAUGGGUUGUAAACUUCUUUUAUAAAGGAAUAAAACGAGGCACGUGUGCCUUUUUGCAUGUACUUUAUGAAUAAGGCUCGGCUAACUCCGUUCCAGCCGCCGCGGUAAUACGGAGGAUUCGAACGUUAUCCGGAUUUAUUGGGUUUAAAGGGAGCGUAGAUGGGUUGUUAAGUCAGUUGUGAAAGUUUGCGGCUCAACCGUAAAAUUGCAAUUGAUACUGGCAGUCUUGAGUACAGUAGAGGUAGGCGGAAUUCGUGGUGUAGCGGUGAAAUGCUUAGAUAUCACGAAGAACCCCGAUUGCGAAGGCAGCUUACUAAACUGUGACUGACAUUGAUGCUCGAAAGUGUGGGUAUCAAACAGGAUUAGAUACCCUUGUAGUC